UACAGAGGGGGCAAGCGUUAUUCGGAAUUAUUGGGCGUAAAGGGCGCGUAGGCGGCAUCGCAAGUGGAAGGUGAAAUCCCUCGGCUUAACCGAGGAACUGCCCUCCAAACUGCGUUGCUUGAGUCCGGGAGAGGUGAGUGGAAUUCCCAGUGUAGCGGUGAAAUGCGUAGAUAUCGGGAGGAACACCUGUGGCGAAAGCGGCGCACUGGACCACAUCUGACGCUGAGGCGCGAAAGCUAGGGGAGCAAACAGG
rnacentral:rRNA from 1 species